UUCUUCCUUUGUUGACAGGUUUGAAGAGAGUUGGCAGGUGGGGGAGAAAGUAAAUCUGCCUUACCCUCUGGGUUACUUAUCCUAAUUUUUCCGUGCCUGGUACAUUCAGCUCCAUAGAGGUUUCUGUGUCACUCAUAACAGCAUUGUUGUAGGCUGGUCGCUGGGUGGUAUCAGUAGACAUUCUAGCUAACAAUUAGCCAUGACUCAAACUUUUACCACCUUGUUUUUUUCUAAAUGUUGUGUUUGUCCACUCCCAACAGUGCCUGGUACUUGUUGUAAAGAUACUAUGUCACUUACUUGGUCACUAUUUCAGUCCAAAGUUCAAACAUUGAAGUUGUCAUAUUACAAAACCUCAAAUUUGUCCAACAGAGAAGUUCACAUCGGUCUCCUCAUAGCACCGCCAUCCUGGCUUCCACUUUAAAAAAAAUAAAAAAAUGAUUAACCCUCGGCCAGUCAAUGAAUAGCAGUUUUUGGCGCUUCCACAUUGCCCUCAGUUGUCAGCCCUAGAGGUUGCCACUUGUGGCGAUUGCUCUAAGACUGCAAGGGAAGCUCAGCUUCCCCUAAAAUGUCAAAAAAUAAGUGGUCAAAUAUGUACUGUUGUGUUUACAUUUCAUUGACUAAAUAUGCGCUAGAACGCGUUCAACUUUUGUUCAGAAUCAGCUACUUAUCACAGGUCACUGACGCGACUUUCUUCUCAUUCAUUCCCAUAGCGUCACAGUGCAUUAAACAGUGGAAGCUCAGCGUCCAAAGACUUCAAUGGGGAAGCAUAGAGUGGGUUGUUCCACUGCAGCAAAACUAGACAGUCAUUGGAUAAAUGCUCGGUUUUGUCCCGCCCAUCGGACGUUCAGCGUCUCUGGGGGUCUAUGCGGCAGUGGGCUGGCCUCGGCUGGCCUGGACCAGAGCCCUUGAAUAGAGAGUUGCGUCUUCUCCGUUCACUCUAAUGGGCCAUUUUUUCACAGCAAUGGCGGAUCGCGGAGCCUCUCAAUAGUUCCCGGAAGUAAGCGGCACAUGCUAGCAGCGCAAUGGAGUUACAGCAGAAAAGACCGGCUGUGAUGUACUUUUAACGGGAGCACUGGGUGGUGGCGGAGCAGUGAUGCUGCAGGACCACUGUGUGAGAGAGGAUGCUGCAGAUAAGUGCUGAGUCGACCUUGGUGAGACUUAAAACUUAACAAGCACAAGAACAACAGGGGGAUGCAAUGGAGCCUGAACUCACCCCGCAAUGAAACAACCCCCUUACCCUGAGUCUCAACUCUGUGGGUUUUGCAAGCCUUUCCCUGUUCCUUAUUUUUAAUAAACCAAACACUGAGCUUCCCAAUA